GAUGAACGCUGGCGGCGUGCUUAACACAUGCAAGUCGAACGGUGAAGCCAAGCUUGCUUGGUGGAUCAGUGGCGAACGGGUGAGUAACACGUGAGCAACCUGCCCUGGACUCUGGGAUAAGCGCUGGAAACGGCGUCUAAUACUGGAUAUGAGCCUUCAUCGCAUGGUGGGGGUUGGAAAGAUUUUUUGGUCUGGGAUGGGCUCGCGGCCUAUCAGCUUGUUGGUGAGGUAAUGGCUCACCAAGGCGUCGACGGGUAGCCGGCCUGAGAGGGUGACCAGCCACACUGGGACUGAGACACGGCCCAGACUCCUACGGGAGGCAGCAGUGGGGAAUAUUGCACAAUGGGCGAAAGCCUGAUGCAGCAACGCUGCGUGAGGGAUGACGGCCUUCGGGUUGUAAACCUCUUUUAGCAGGGAAGAAGCGAAAGUGACGGUACCUGCAGAAAAAGCGCCGGCUAACUACGUGCCAGCCGCCGCGGUAAGAC
rnacentral:rRNA from 1 species